GCUCCUCUGCGGCUCCACGGCUCUGCCCUUGCCUCGCUGGCCCUGCCAGCCCAGCACAGACCCAUGUUUGCUUGCCUGUCAUUUGCCACAUGUACAGGAGGGUUUUUUAAGCUCCUACCGGCAGGGUGACCAGCCCUGAGACCCAGGGUAGCACAGUGAGGAGCUGACAAUAGUGUGAGAUGUUCAGUGAGAACCCUAACUGAUGCCCUGACUCCUCAGGGCUCCAGCCUGGAAUAGCACCAUUAAGGGGAUGUCAGUGGUUUACUGGAGCAUGGCACAGGGAGCUUUCCUCGCUCUCCAGGCUGGGCUGCAGACGGACACACUGCUCAGUGGGACUUUUAACCAGAGGGAACAAGAGGGCUGCGAUUAUUUUCUUUAAACUCUGGAAAUUAGGAGGACAAAAUGGUGACCUGUGACUCUAUCCCAAGAGGAAUCCUGAACUAACGGAGCAGCGGAAGGUGGGUGGUGAAGAGGCCAAAUGGUCCAAAUCGACUGCACCACAGCCACCCCUGGGAGUGCUCAAAAAACGUGUGGAUGUGGCCUUGACAGUGCUGGGGGAAUGGUAGGACUUCAUGAUC